rnacentral:rRNA from 1 species
UGGGGAAUCUUGCACAAUGGGCGAAAGCCUGAUGCAGCAAUGCCGCGUGAGUGAAGAAGGCUCUUGGGUCGUAAAGCUCUUUCGACUGAGAAGAAGGGGGAUAGGGUGAAUAAUUCUAUUCUUUGACGGUAUCAGAAGAAGAAGCACCGGCUAACUCCGUGCCAGCAGCCGCGGUAAUACGGAGGGUGCAAGCGUUGUUCGGAAUUACUGGGCGUAAAGCGCACGUAGGCGGACUAUUAAGUCGAUUGUGAAAGCCCCGGGCUCAACCUGGGAAUUGCAGUCGAAACUGCUAGUCUUGAAUGUAUAAGAGGGUAGUGGAAUUCCCGGUGUAGAAGUGAAAUUCGUAGAUA